GAGAAUGUAGUUUAAUGGUUAAAACAUCGACCUGUCACGUCGAAGACUGCGGGUUCGAGUCCCGUCUUUUUCG
rnacentral:tRNA from 2 species